AAUUGGCUGCUGUGCUACAAUCCGGG
rnacentral:piRNA from 1 species